UACGUAGGGGGCUAGCGUUGUCCGGAAUCGAUUGGCGUAAAGCGCGUGUAGGCGGUCCGGUAAGUCCGCUGUGAAAGUCGGGGGCUCAACCCUCGGAUGCCGGUGGAUACUGUCGGACUAGAGUACGGAAGAGGCGAGUGGAAUUCCGGGUGUAGCGGUGGAAUGCGUAGAGAUCCGGAAGAACACCAGUGGCGAAGGCGGUCUGCUGGGCGGUGGGUCCGCGAGGAUCCAAUAGCCGACACUGAGGCGCGACAGCGUGGGGAGCAAACAGG
rnacentral:rRNA from 1 species